AAACCCAAUGCACCUGCAUGGUGUUAUACUAUAUUAGAUUACAUUAUAUUUAAUUGGGAUAGUUUAUUAAUACACCUGCAUUAUAAGCGAUAGGCCAGAGAUCAGAAAAACAUAGUUUUUCUGUCGAUUAAGUAAUAAUUAUAUAAUUAUAGGAUAUUACUAUAAUUAUAUCAUUUAUAUAAUAGUUAUAUAAUUAUUUAUUGAUGAUUAUGUAAAUCAUCAUAUCACUCUAAAAUAGACUACUAGUCCCCUGCAUGUCAUUGAGAACUCAUAUAAAUACGAGUAGAGUAUUUAGAAGUAAUCAGAAAGGUAGUACUAUUCAAGAAGGUAGUACUAUUCAAGAAGGUAGUUCACUCCAAUGUAAGACUAUUGCUCGUCGUGGACUUUGUCACAGCCACAUCGCCGCGAGUUUACGGUCAUUCCCAGUACUUGUAACUUUUACAUAGCAGCAAGCUAUUUUACUUAUGUUUUAUAUUAUUGUUUAAUGUUUUAUAUUGUUUAACUUAAUAAACUUUUACUUUAUUUCAAUUAAAACAACAA